rnacentral:rRNA from 1 species
UGGGGAAUAUUGGGCAAUGGGCGCAAGCCUGACCCAGCAACGCCGCGUGAGGGAAGAAGGUUUUCGGAUUGUAAACCUCUGUCGCAAGGGACGAAUAAAUGACGGUACCUUGCAAGAAAGCCCCGGCUAACUACGUGCCAGCAGCCGCGGUAAUACGUAGGGGGCGAGCGUUGUCCGGAAUUAUUGGGCGUAAAGGGAGCGUAGGCGGCGUAUCAAGUCAGAUGUGAAAUACCAGGGCUCAACCCUGGGGCUGCAUUUGAAACUGGUAUGCUUGAGUGUAGGAGAGGAAAGUGGAAUUCCUAGUGUAGCGGUGAAAUGCGUAGAUAUUAGGAGGAACACCAGUGGCGAAGGCGACUUUCUGGACUAUAACUGACGCUGAGGCUCGAAAGCGUGGGGAGCAAACA